UGGGGAAUCUUCCGCAAUGGACGAAAGUCUGACGGAGCAACGCCGCGUGAGUGAUGACGGCCUUCGGGUUGUAAAGCUCUGUUAAUCGGGACGAAUGGUUCUUGUGCGAAUAGUGCAAGGAUUUGACGGUACCGGAAUAGAAAGCCACGGCUAACUACGUGCCAGCAGCCGCGGUAAUACGUAGGUGGCAAGCGUUGUCCGGAAUUAUUGGGCGUAAAGCGCGCGCAGGCGGAUUGGUCAGUCUGUCUUAAAAGUUCGGGGCUUAACCCCGUGAUGGGAUGGAAACUGCCAAUCUAGAGUAUCGGAGAGGAAAGUGGAAUUCCUAGUGUAGCGGUGAAAUGCGUAGAUAUUAGGAAGAACACCAGUGGCGAAGGCGACUUUCUGGCCGAAAACUGACGCUGAGGCGCGAAAGCCAGGGGAGCGAACGGG
rnacentral:rRNA from 1 species